UACGGAGGGUCCAAGCGUUAUCCGGAUUUAUUGGGUUUAAAGGGUGCGCAGGCGGAACUUUAAGUCAGUGGUGAAAUCUUGCCGCUUAACGGUAAAAUUGCCAUUGAUACUGAAGUUCUUGAAUGUAGUUGAGGUAGGCGGAAUGUGUUGUGUAGCGGUGAAAUGCAUAGAUAUGACACAGAACGCCAAUUGCGAAGGCAGCUUACUAAGCUACGAUUGACGCUGAGGCA
rnacentral:rRNA from 1 species